rnacentral:misc_RNA from 1 species
GAACGUGGUGUAAACAGUUAUCAACAUGGCCCCGGGAGCGACAGUCACAAAUGGUUCAAUUCAUAUAAAUGGGAAUGUAAAUGGAAAAGUAUGUCCGCGAAACGGACAUAAAACAAAUGGAACACAUCAUAAGCCAUCCGCAAGUGACUGGAAAAGAACAUGGUGGGAAUCGUUUGAGGAGACCCCAUUGUACGCAGCAAUAUGGACAUACCUUGGCUACGGUUUACUAGUUUUAGUCGGUCACAUCAGAGAUUUCUUCCGAAACACUGGUCUAGAGAGACAAAAAUCAUGUACAGAACCAAAGCUUCCGGGCUUUGUACCACUAUAUCAAAGUUGGGAGAGUUUCUACACUCGAAACCUCUACCGUCGUAUUCGAGACUGUUGGAAUCGGCCAAUAUGCAGUGUGGCAGGUGCGUACAUGGACAUAAUGGAUCGAAAGACUUCAGAUAAUGGCUGGAACUUUGAGUUAACGGACAAAACACACCAUGUGAUGAAUUUUGGUUCAUAUAAUUAUCUUGGGUUUGCGGAAAAUAAAGGUCCAUGUAAAGAUGCCGUAGAAGCUGUGACACACAAGUACGGCACUGCAGCCUGUGGUAGCAGACAAGAAUUAGGAUACCUGGAUAUUCACAGAGAAUUAGAUGAACUUGUUGCUCAAUAUUUGGGUGUGGAAGCCGCCAUGACAGUACCCAUGGGCUUUGCUACCAACUCCAUGAAUAUGCCUUGUCUUGUUUCAAAAGGAAGUUUGAUAUUCAGCGACGAAUUAAAUCAUGCGUCUUUAGUUCUCGGUAGUCGUUUGACAGGUGCAACAAUACGUACAUACAAACAUAACGAUAUGGUAGAUUUAGAAAAAAAAUUACGAGCAGCUGUUGUGCACGGUCAGCCAAGAAAUCACAGACCAUGGAAAAAAAUUCUCAUAGUUGUUGAAGGUGUUUACAGUAUGGAAGGAUCAGUUGUGUGUUUACCAGAAGUUUUAAGAUUAAAAAAGAAAUACAAGACUUACAUAUAUUUAGACGAGGCACAUAGUGUGGGAGCUAUGGGCCCGAGGGGCCGUGGAGUAGUGGAUUAUUUUGGAAUUGACCCCAAAGAAAUAGAUAUUAUGAUGGGAACAUUUACUAAAAGUUUCGGUUCUGCUGGGGGUUAUAUUGGGGGUACAAAGAAAUUAAUAAACCACUUACGAUGUCACUCACAUGCGGCUAUAUACAGUCCAACAGUGCAGCCACCGGUUGCUCAACAAAUUAUUACAUCAAUGAGAAUUAUCAUGGGCCUUGACGGCACUAACGAAGGCUUUAGACGUAUUCAACAGUUAAAAGACAAUGUCCGCUAUUUUCGACGUAGACUCCAUGAAAAAGGUUUUAUAAUCUACGGAAAUAAAGACUCCCCCGUGGUGCCUCUACUCAUCUAUUACCCGUCGAAAGUUGGGCAGUCGGCGGAUUGAGCAGUUGAAACAGAAUUGCCGAUACUUUAGAAGACGUCUGCACGAGAUGGGUUUCAUAAUUUACGGGAAUAAAGAUUCCCCUGUGGUGCCCCUUCUACUUUUUAUGCCGGCUAAGAUAGCUGCAUUUAGCCGAGAGUGUUUGAAGCGUGGCCUUGGCACAGUAGUGGUUGGAUUUCCGGCAACACCCAUUAUAGAAUCUCGUGCAAGAUUCUGUCUUUCAGCAGCUCACACACGGGAAACUGUAGAUAAG